CUCCAAUCCCAAUGCAUGGAUAGAGGCUUAACGGUGUUUGUGGCAGUUCAUGUCCCGGAUGUGUUACUAAAUGGGUGGCGCUGGAGGCUUGGGGUGAUACCACCACUCGUUUGUCUGUUGGCGAUUAGUGUUGUCCCCCCGAGUGGCCAGCGUGGCCCCGUACCAUUCAGGACACGAGUUGCAACGGGCGCGCACUGAAGCUAGCGUGCCCUCCCGAGGAGUGUCAGUAAAAUAAAAUACAAAAACACAAUCACGGUUGCACCAAGCACAACAUCAAACACAUACAAUGCUGAAGAGCAGGCGUAUCGAGGGCAUACCCGUGGCU
rnacentral:misc_RNA from 1 species